GUUGGGUGUGAUGGCACACACCUGUAAUCCCAGCUGCUCAGGAGGCUGAGGCAGGAGGAUUAUAAAUUUAAAGCCAGCCUUGGCAAUUUAGUGAGGCCCUAAGCAACUUAGUGAGACCCUGUCUCUA
rnacentral:sRNA from 1 species